rnacentral:rRNA from 1 species
ACUCAAAGGAAUUGACGGGGACCCGCACAAGCAGUGGAGCGUGUGGUUUAAUUCGACGCUAAGCGAAGAACCUUACCGAGGUUUGACAUCCCAGGAAUCCCCUGGAAACAGGGGAGUGCCGCAAGGAGCCUGGUGACAGGUGCUGCAUGGCCGUCGUCAGCUCGUGUCGUGAGAUGUUGGGUUAAGUCCCGCAACGAGCGCAACCCUUGUCGUAUGUUACACAUGUCAUACGAGACUGCCCCGGUCAACGGGGAGGAAGGUGGGGAUGACGUCAGGUCAGCAUGGCCCUUAUACCUCGGGCGACACACGCGCUACAAUGGCCGGUACAACGGGUUGCGAAAUCGCAAGAUGAAGCUAAUCCCAUCAAAGCCGGUCUCAGUUCGGAUUGGGGGCUGCAACUCGCCCCCAUGAAGCCGGAAUUGCUAGUAAACGCGGAUCAGCCACGCCGCGUUGAAUACGUUCUCGGGUCUUGCACACACCGCCCGU